UCAGGUCGACGUGUUUCACAGAACAAAUAAAGGAACGAACUUCUGGGUAAUAGUUUUUCCGUACAUACACCGGGAAUCAUCGUACGGCAUGGGAUCAUUAGCUGUUCGCGGUCAACGUCUCUGGUCUCCCCUCGCACUCGGUUUCAAAGCCGCAGAAACUCGUCUAUUCCCGUGUCGACGAUUUUCCACGGUUCUGGUGUGCUUUUUCGUCCCUAUAUGUGUCGACGGGUCGACGAACGGCACACGGAUACGGCCCUGGCCAGCCCGCAAACAGCAUUUUUCCACGGCGACUCGGUUUACGCUCGCGGUUAAAAAGAAUCCGCUCCGUGUUGGUCGCGCGUCGCCACCCGAGUACCAACAGAAGAAAUAGCAGAGACUAAAGACGGGCAGAACGAGCAAGGGAGCCGCUAUAGCGGGCAAAAAUCAAGAGAUACCGAGCCAAGUUCCGGGAAACGGUUAUAUCGUAUCGAUCGUAAAGUACGAGAUGAUUAGGAAGCACGCGUAAUAACCGUGAAUAUGUUAAUACUCUCUAACGUCGUUUAAAAUGGAUGGAAGAUUGAACAUUUCAGUCGGAGCUGUCCGUCGAGUAUUUUAAAAAGUAAAAAUUACUUUAAACAAGGUUUCUCUUUGUUUAAAGAAUCGAAGCGACGAAAGACGCAUGGUGCAUGCUAGUAUGUAAAUAUUUUGCCUGAUUAAAAAUGCAAAUAUAAACCGAUAACAUGUAUUUGGUACUGUAUGGAACAAAGAUUAUUUUAAAUUUCUUUGAUUCUCUUUAUUCAUUUUCUUUUUUUCUUUUCUUUAGUCGGUGGUAAUGGAUAUAUAGUAACUGAGAGUGCGUAAGCAAUUUCUGUAUAAUAUAUAGAAUUGCAGGGACAAGGACACAUGUGAAUUAAUCGCAUAUGUUGGAUAUUUCAAGAAGAAAAGAUUAAUCAAGUGCUAUGCAGUCUUCUCGUAUCAAAUAAUCAAAAGUGUGAUUGCAAGAUACUAUAUUGUAAUAUAUAUAGUAUCUAUCUAGUAUAGCAUCUAUCAAUAUAGUAGAUUGUGAUUGCAAGUAUAGUAUAGAUAUUUUCUAUGAUUAAAAGUACUAUCUCGAAGAUAGUAAGAAAGAUUGAAUAUUUUAUCGAGUUAAAAUUCUUUCAACUUUGUUUGGUUUUUGUUUUACUUUCAGAACACCUUAGCUGAUAACGAGGAACGUGUCGUGACUAGAGACGUGCAAAUAUCCUCUACGAUAGAAAUCAAAAUCGAGUAUGUCAUAAUUGAAGACAUGAGAAUAUUUUUUACGAUUACACAACCACAACUUGAUGGCAAGGAACGUGCGAUAACAACAGACGCUGAAACAUGUUCCAUGAUGAAAAAUAUAAGUUAAUCAAGCGAAUUCCAUAUCUUAAGAUUACACAAAACUCAUUAAGCUUGUCUGGUUUUCAUUCUUUCCACAGAGUAGUUGAUGAUAACAACAAAAGACGCAUGGUAAUCAUUUUUGUACAAUUAAAAGCGCAAAGAUCGCCGGUUACAGCCAAUGGCAUAGAUAUUUUUGGCAUAAAAUUAACUAGUUUACAGAUACUUGUUCGUUUGUUCGAACUUGUUUAUCCUCGUCUAAUUUGCAUUUUGUGAUAAGGAAUCGCUGGAUGUAUUUUAUUCUUUGCAGCUUUUUCCCGAGUGCGAGCCUCGAGUCAGCUGAUUGGCAGAAUCGCUAAUUAUUCUUUAAAAUAGACGGGGAUCUUUGGAAUUCCGAUUAAUCCAUGACCUCGGUUACUGGAAACGAGCUUCAACGUGCUAUAAUAAACUUUAAUAUUAGAACUACGAGAAUUAUGAACAUGUCUAAUCAAUAAUUUUUCAUAGGAAUUUUAUAAAUAUAGAGCGGUACAUUUUUGAGAAUUUUAUGCAAAAUAUUGUCCCGUUUCGCAUUAUAUAUAUCUUUUCAAAAUUUUAUACCUUUAAAAAGAUACGUAUUUAGGGAAUUUUUGCGACGUUUUAUAAAACCCACGGAUGAAAUGUUAUUCUUCAUUUUACAUUAUAGUAUCUCUCUACACGUACUUCUCAUUUUAAUUCUUUCAUACUGUCAGCCGUAAGUAUUAGGACGUGGUUUUAGUACAAAUUGAAUAUUUUUUCACUCUUUUCGUUUUGUAGUUUCCUUUUUUUUAUUAUAAAUUCGUCAUUUCAUUCGCGUCAUAUGACGAAUUAAAAAUCAUAAUGGUGUAUAUAAUAUAAAAUUUUCAGCACUUUAAUUUAAAUAAUUAGACAAUGAAAUAUAUGUGUAUAUCUCAAUCUUGAGAAGUA